rnacentral:rRNA from 1 species
GACGUAGGGCGCGAGCGUUUGUCCGGAUUUAUUGGGCGUAAAGAGCUCGUAGGCGGCUUGUCGCGUCGACUGUGAAAACCCGCGGCUCAACCGCGGGCCUGCAGCCGAUACGGGCAGGCUAGAGUUCGGUAGGGGAGACUGGAAUUCCUGGUGUAGCGGUGAAAUGCGCAGAUAUCAGGAGGAACACCGGUGGCGAAGGCGGGGUCUCUGGG